AUCUGAUUAACCUGAGCUGGAAAAGCUUAUCAAAAGUGUGGUAGCUACAUAAGACAAGAACAUAUUCACCGUAGCUUAAAACUGUUUCUUGGCCCCUAGAAUCUCAGGAAAUGCCAUGCAAAUACGAGUUGAUGAAGGAAGGCACCUGGUUGACUGAAAAUAAUCCAAGCUUUAAGGGGAAAAAUGGAGGAGAAUGUCCAUCCACUGGAAUACAAUCCAUAUUGCAUGUCCAGCAGGGCACGCUGCCCUCUCAUGGGACAACGGGAGCAUAGGGGCUCAUGCCUUCUCUGUGGCUGACUUUAGCCUUGCUGGCUUCCCCCAAAUAAAAUCUGUU